GAUGAACGCUGGCGGCGUGCCUAAUACAUGCAAGUCGAGCGAACAGACGAGGAGCUUGCUCCUCUGACGUUAGCGGCGGACGGGUGAGUAACACGUGGAUAACCUACCUAUAAGACUGGGAUAACUUCGGGAAACCGGAGCUAAUACCGGAUAAUAUAUUGAACCGCAUGGUUCAAUAGUGAAAGACGGUUUUGCUGUCACUUAUAGAUGGAUCCGCGCCGCAUUAGCUAGUUGGUAAGGUAACGGCUUACCAAGGCAACGAUGCGUAGCCGACCUGAGAGGGUGAGCGGCCACACUGGAACUGAGACACGGUCCAGACUCCUACGGGAGGCAGCAGUAGGGAAUCGUCCGCAAUGGGCGAAAGCUUGACGGGGCAACGCCGCGUGAGUGAUGAAGGUCUUCGGAUCGUAAAACUCUGUUAUUAGGGAAGAACAAAUGUGUAAGUAACUAUGCACGUCGUGACGGUACCGAAUCAGAAAGCCACGGCUAACUACGU
rnacentral:rRNA from 1 species